rnacentral:rRNA from 1 species
GGAUCGACGGGUCGGUCGCGCCUCUGGUGUGUACUGGCCCUGUCGGUUUCUCCCUUCUGACGAACCACGAUGUCAUUAAUUUGGUGUCGUGGGAAAUCAGGACUGUUACUUUGAAAAAUUAGAGUGUUUAAAGCAGGCAUUCGCUUGAAUACAUUAGCAUGGAAUAAUGAAAUAGGACGUUUGAUCUUAUUUUGUUGGUUUCUAAGAUCGACGCAAUGAUUAAUAGGGAUAGUUGGG